rnacentral:misc_RNA from 1 species
AAGGAUCAACAAUAUUACCUUUACCUAUGUAAUCUAACCCCCAAAACUAAUACUAAUGCAUUCAAUAGCUCAAAACCACAUCAAAUCCUUAACGCCUAAAAAGAACCAGCAGCCAUCAAACAACCAAGCUUCAAUCAAAUUCCAAGUACUGCAAUGGCUAACAGAUCAAAUCAUACGCCGAAAUUUAGAAAACAAGAUAGCAAAACUAAUUAAUCCUUGGAUAUGG